AGGAUGAACGCUGGCGGCGUGCUUAACACAUGCAAGUCGAACGAUGAAGGCUGGAGCUUGCUCUGGCUGGAUUAGUGGCGAACGGGUGAGUAACACGUGAGUAACCUGCCCCAGACUCUGGGAUAAGCGCUGGAAACGGCGUCUAAUACCGGAUACGAGCUUCCACCGCAUGGUGAGGAGCUGGAAAGAAUUUCGGUCUGGGAUGGACUCGCGGCCUAUCAGCUUGUUGGUGAGGUAAUGGCUCACCAAGGCGACGACGGGUAGCCGGCCUGAGAGGGUGACCGGCCACACUGGGACUGAGACACGGCCCAGACUCCUACGGGAGGCAGCAGUGGGGAAUUUGGACAAUGGGCGAAAGCCUGAUCCAGCAAUGCCG
rnacentral:rRNA from 1 species